UCGGGUAUGGUGUAACGGCUAACAUUGCCGCCUCUCAUUACAAUCUGUGGACGCGGCAGCUCGGGGUUCGAUUCCCCGUACCCGAA